rnacentral:snRNA from 1 species
UGCUGGCUUCGGCAGCACAUAUACUAAAAAUUGGAAAGAUACGGAGAAGAUUAGCAUGGCCCCUGCACAAGAAUGACACACAAAUUCAUGAAGUGUUCCAUAUUAAA